GACGAACGCUGGCGGCGUGCUUAACACAUGCAAGUCGAACGGAAAGGCCCUGCUUUUGUGGGGUGCUCGAGUGGCGAACGGGUGAGUAACACGUGAGUAACCUGCCCUUGACUUUGGGAUAACUUCAGGAAACUGGGGCUAAUACCGGAUAGGAGCUCCUGCUGCAUGGUGGGGGUUGGAAAGUUUCGGCGGUUGGGGAUGGACUCGCGGCUUAUCAGCUUGUUGGUGGGGUAGUGGCUUACCAAGGCUUUGACGGGUAGCCGGCCUGAGAGGGUGACCGGCCACAUUGGGCCUGAGAUACGGCCCAGACGCCUACGGGAGGCAGGAGUGGGGAAUAUUGCACAAAGGGCGGAAGCCUGAUGCAGCAACGCCGCGUGCGGGAUGACGGCCUUCGGGUAGGAAACCGCUUUCGCCUGUGACGAAGCGUGAGUGACGGUAAUGGGUAAAGAAGCACCGGCUAACUACGG
rnacentral:rRNA from 1 species